UGAACUCGCUGUGAAGAUGCAGUGUACCCGCGGCAAGACGGAAAGACCCCGUGAACCUUUACUAUAGCUUGACACUGAACAUUGAGCCUUGAUGUGUAGGAUAGGUGGGAGGCUUUGAAGCGUGGACGCCAGUCUGCGUGGAGCCGACCUUGAAAUACCACCCUUUAAUGUUUGAUGUUCUAACGUGGAUCCGUAAUCCGGGUUGCGGACAGUGUCUGGUGGGUAGUUUGACUGGGGCGGUCUCCUCCUAAAGAGUAACGGAGGAGCACGAAGGUUGGCUAAUCCUGGUCGGACAUCAGGAGGUUAGUGCAAUGGCAUAAGCCAGCUUGACUGCGAGCGUGACGGCGCGAGCAGGUGCGAAAGCAGGUCAUAGUGAUCCGGUGGUUCUGAAUGGAAGGGCCAUCGCUCAACGGAUAAAAGGUACUCCGGGGAUAACAGGCUGAUACCGCCCAAGAGUUCAUAUCGACGGCGGUGUUUGGCACCUCGAUGUCGGCUCAUCACAUCCUGGGGCUGAAGUAGGUCCCAAGGGUAUGGCUGUUCGCCAUUUAAAGUGGUACGCGAGCUGGGUUUAGAACGUCGUGAGACAGUUCGGUCCCUAUCUGCCGUGGGCGCUGGAGAACUGAGGGGGGCUGCUCCUAGUACGAGAGGACCGGAGUGGACGCAUCACUGGUGUUCGGGUUGUCAUGCCAAUGGCACUGCCCGGUAGCUAAAUGCGGAAGAGAUAAGUGCUGAAAGCAUCUAAGCACGAAACUUGCCCCGAGAUGAGUUCUCCCUGAGACUUAGAGUCUCCUGAAGGAACGUUGAAGACGACGACGUUGAUAGGCCGGGUGUGUAAGCGCAGCGAUGCGUUGAGCUAACCGGUACUAAUGAACCGUGAGGCUUAACCUUACAACGCCGAAG
rnacentral:rRNA from 1 species